GAUGAACGCUGGCGGUCUGCUUAACACAUGCAAGUCGAACGGAAUCUUUCGGGAUUUAGUGGCGGACGGGUGAGUAACGCGUGAGAAUCUGCCUUCAGGUUCGGGACAACAGUUGGAAACGGCUGCUAAUACCGGAUGUGCCGAGAGGUGAAAGCUUAAGUGCCUGGAGAUGAGCUCGCGUCUGAUUAGCUAGUAGGAGUGGUAACGGCACCCCUAGGCGACGAUCAGUAGCUGGUCUGAGAGGAUGAUCAGCCACACUGGGACUGAGACACGGCCCAGACUCCUACGGGAGGCAGCAGUGGGGAAUUUUCCGCAAUGGGCGCAAGCCUGACGGAGCAAGACCGCGUGAGGGAAGAAGGUCUGUGGAUUGUAAACCUCUUUUGAUAGGGAAGAAGACAGUGACGGUACCUAUCGAAUCAGCCUCGGCUAACUCCGUGCCAGCAGCCGCGGUAAUACGGAGGAGGCAAGCGUUAUCCGGAAUUAUUGGGCGUAAAGAGUCCGUAGGUGGGUAACCAAGUCAGCUGUUAAAUAGUGAAGCUUAACUUCAUAGAGGCGGCUGAAACUGGUGGUCUAGAGUGUGGUAGGGGUAGAGGGAAUUUCCAGUGUAGCGGUGAAAUGCGUAGAUAUUGGAAAGAACACCGGUGGCGAAAGCGCUCUACUGGGCCUGCACUGACACUGAGGGACGAAAGCUAGGGGAGCGAAAGGGAUUAGAUACCCCUGUAGUCCUAGCCGUAAACGAUGGAUACUAGGCGUUGCCCG
rnacentral:rRNA from 1 species